GAUGAACGCUGGCGGCGUGCCUAAUACAUGCAAGUCGAGCGAACGGACGAGAAGCUUGCUUUUCUGAUGUUAGCGGCGGACGGGUGAGUAACACGUGGAUAACCUACCUAUAAGACUGGGAUAACUUCGGGAAACCGGAGCUAAUACCGGAUAAUAUUUUGAACCGCAUGGUUCAAAAGUGAAAGACGGUCUUGCUGUCACUUAUAGAUGGAUCCGCGCUGCAUUAGCUAGUUGGUAAGGUAACGGCUUACCAAGGCAACGAUGCAUAGCCGACCUGAGAGGGGGAUAGGCAACACUGGAAGAGCGGCACGGUGCAGACUCCUGCGGGAGGAAGCAGGGGGGAAUCUAGCGCAAUGGGCGAAAGCCGGAAGGAGCAAAGCCGCGGGAGUGAUGAAGGUCUUCGGAUCGUAAAACUCUGUUAUUAGGGAAGAACAUAUGUGUAAGGAACUGUGCACAUCUUGACGGGACCUAAUCAGAAAGCCACGGCUAACUACGUG
rnacentral:rRNA from 1 species